rnacentral:misc_RNA from 1 species
CAGAGUUGCAAGACUCCCUAAACCAUUGUGAACCUACCUUCUACCGUUGCUUCGGCGGGCGGGCCCAGCGCCCCCCCCGGGCCCCCCCGCGGGCGCCCGCCGGAGGAUACCCAAACUCUUGACAUUAGUGGCCUCUCUGAGUAUUCUUUACUGAAUAAGUCA